UACGAAGGGGGCUAGCGUUGCUCGGAAUGACUGGGCGUAAAGGGCGCGUAGGCGGAUGGCACAGUCAGAUGUGAAAUUCCCGGGCUUAACCUGGGAGCUGCAUUUGAUACGUGUUGUCUUGAGUUCGGAAGAGGGUCGUGGAAUUCCCAGUGUAGAGGUGAAAUUCGUAGAUAUUGGGAAGAACACCGGUGGCGAAGGCGGCGACCUGGUCCGACACUGACGCUGAGGCGCGAAAGCGUGGGGAGCAAACAGG
rnacentral:rRNA from 1 species